GGCAACGUAGCAAAGUGGUUAAUGCGAUUGACUAGAACACCUGAUUUCAGGUCUCGUGAUCAAUUCUCUUCGGAGGCGUAGGUUCGAAUCCUGCCGUUGUCG